AAGGACUCUGUUUUCCCCAGGGAGAGCAGUGCUGUGGUGGUGCAGGAGGCAGCAGCCAGUGCAGAGCCUCCUGUGCAGGACAGAAGCCUUGAAGUCUCCUCUGAACUCCAGACAGGAGCUUCUCCCUCCAGUGCGAGUGAAGUGGAUGGGAGCCUGUGCAGCUUUGAAAUGAAUGAAAUCCUGGCCAGUUACCCAGAAGGUCUCCAAGACUUCCUGGAAGGAGGACCUGGGUCAGGCCAGGCUCUGAAGGAUGCAGAAAGGCAGCAAAAGGAAGAUCAGAGCCCGUGGGAGGGUGAGGAGGAAAGGGAAUCCUCAGGGUCCAGCACGGGGUUCACUGGAGAGGAGGAGGAGCUGGAAGAAGAGGAGAAGGAGGAGGAAGAAGAGGAGGGGGUGAGGGAAGCCUCUGGGCUGUCCCAGAUGAGAGGAGAUGCUGGCAGGAGGCUGAGCAGCUCCUCCCAGAGCGAGCAGCACAUCAGCAAAUGCGUCCUGAACCUCAAGAUCAUGCAGAGCAUGCUGCAGCAGGCAGGGCAGUCCCUGAGCAGGACAGAGGAGAGGCUGGACAGGCUGAAGGCCAUGGCAAAGCAGAAGAGGCUGCUCCAGGAAGUCAGGAUGAAUCUGCUUCCUAAGGAAAGUUCUCAGGGAAGACUCUGGGAAGGGGCUGAUGCUCCUUCCCAAAACACCAAGAAGGCUUUUUCUGGAGGUGAUGUUUUCUUACACCAGGCUGUGGCUCCACCGUCCAGGGACUACAUUCCACCUCCAAUAACGUGUCAGGCAGCAGGCAGAGACAGCUUCCAGGCUGUUCCCAAGAAAGCCAAGGGAAGAGAGGCAAUCCAGAAUGAGAAGUGGAAGAGAGAAAUUGCAGCCACCCAUCGUGAUCCGGGCUGCAGCGUGGGCAAAGGGCUGGAUGAUGAAGUGAGCCUAAACCAGGAGCAUCUCCUCCCACACGUGUCUGCAAGAUGCCAGGAGGAGUUCAACUUGCAGUGUCAGAGAGGAGCUGAUUCACACUCUGCAGCAAGAAGGGAAGAGGAGAAGUGGUGCCAUUCAGAACCAAGGGCUGAAUUCUGCAGCAAAAAAAACAGUGAGAAGAGGAG
rnacentral:lncRNA from 1 species